CGUUGUCUCGUUUCUUGUGCUGGGACUUUUCCACGCAACUUGCGAAUCUCCUCCACUUGGUCUUGCGAUAGUUGUCUUUUUGGAGGCAUUUGGUUGUACUAUAUAUCUACAGUCGCAAAAAAUUGUCUAUAUGGGAAACUAGGGCACACUAGGUGCAGACUAGGCAAACUGGGGCACACUAGGUGCAGACUAGACAAACUGGGGCACACUAGACAGAACCUAGAAUUUUGCUUGUUUUGCCAAGCAAUGCUUAGCAGAGGCUUAGCAAUACUUGG